rnacentral:rRNA from 1 species
UGGUGGAGUGAUUUGUCUGGUUAAUUCCGUUAACGAACGAGACCUCGACCUGCUAAAUAGUACAGCGUAAGCUUUGCUUAUGUAUGCACUUCUUAGAGGGACUGUCGGUUUCUAGCCGAAGGAAGUUCGAGGCAAUAACA